GUGUAAAUCCCCACAAGGGAGAGGAGAGAGGUUCCAGCUGAACAGGGAUCCUGUCCGAAACCUGAGCUCUGUGUGAAGCAGGACCAGCAAGAUGCUGUAUCAAACCAGGGAAGAACAGAAAAGCUGGGAUGGAGCACAGGAAAUGAACAGGGAAUCUGAGGAAUGGAUUAUAUAAACUCGAGUAAGGAAACUGCCAAUGAACAGACCCUGGAGAAGGAGAAGAGGACUCCCAGGAAGAAUACAGACACCUGAGCUCCUAUUUCAAAGGUCCGGUCCUUCAAGGAGUUCUCCAGCCAAACUAGGGGAGGCCACGCUUUCUAUUCCUGAUCAUUCAAAGGUGAAAAGAAGGGGAAUUUAGAUAAGAAAUAACAAAACCUAAUUUUCAGAACUUCUUUAACAACAUAAAAAAAAGUGAAGCAGCGUUACAAACCCAUCCCACCCCACAUGAACGCAUGGCCUUUCAAAAUCUUUUCCCUAAGGAAAAAUAAUUGACUGUAUUAAAGGGGAAAUGACACUUGACUAACUGAAUAGUUGGUGGGUGGCAUUAUCUGGAUUCUAAUU